UACGGAGGGGGCUAGCGUUGUUCGGAAUUACUGGGCGUAAAGCGCGCGUAGGCGGAUCUGCAAGUCGGGGGUGAAAUCCCGAGGCUCAACCUCGGAACUGCCUUCGAUACUGCGGGUCUCGAGUCCGGGAGAGGUGAGUGGAAUUCCUAGUGUAGAGGUGAAAUUCGUAGAUAUUUGGAGGAAUACCGGCGGCGAAGGCGGCCUUCUGGGCCAUUCUUGACACUGAGACGCGAAAGCGUGGGUAGCAAACAGG
rnacentral:rRNA from 1 species